rnacentral:pre_miRNA from 1 species
GCUGCACCAGCAAAACCUCAGCUUGGGCUUAAGCUUCGGAGUCGCCUUAGGCUAAGGCUUCGUCUGAGGCUUAGGCUUAGGCUUCGGCUUCGUCUUAGGCUUAG